rnacentral:rRNA from 1 species
AGGGUUUGAUCAUGGCUCAGGACGAACGCUGGCGGCGUGCUUAACACAUGCAAGUCGAACGAUGAACCACUUCGGUGGGGAUUAGUGGCGAACGGGUGAGUAACACGUGGGCAAUCUGCCCUUCACUCUGGGACAAGCCCUGGAAACGGGGUCUAAUACCGGAUACCACUACCGCAGGCAUCUGUGGUGGUUGAAAGCUCCGGCGGUGAAGGAUGAGCCCGCGGCCUAUCAGCUUGUUGGUGAGGUAAUGGCUCACCAAGGCGACGACGGGUAGCCGGCCUGAGAGGGCGACCGGCCACACUGGGACUGAGACACGGCCCAGACUCCUACGGGAGGCAGCAGUGGGGAAUAUUGCACAAUGGGCGAAAGCCUGAUGCAGCGACGCCGCGUGAGGGAUGACGGCCUUCGGGUUGUAAACCUCUUUCAGCAGGGAAGAAGCGAAAGUGACGGUACCUGCAGAAGAAGCGCCGGCUAACUACGUGCCAGCAGCCGCGGUAAUACGUAGGGCGCAAGCGUUGUCCGGAAUUAUUGGGCGUAAAGAGCUCGUAGGCGGCUUGUCACGUCGGGUGUGAAAGCCCGGGGCUUAACCCCGGGUCUGCAUUCGAUACGGGCUAGCUAGAGUGUGGUAGGGGAGAUCGGAAUUCCUGGUGUAGCGGUGAAAUGCGCAGAUAUCAGGAGGAACACCGGUGGCGAAGGCGGAUCUCUGGGCCAUUACUGACGCUGAGGAGCGAAAGCGUGGGGAGCGAACAGGAUUAGAUACCCUGGUAGUCCACGCCGUAAAC